GAAGAGUGCAUUGACUUUUCCUCUGCUGGCAGCUUUUUUUUCUUUCUUCUUUCUUUCUUUUCUUCUUUCUUUCUUUUCUUCUUUCUUUCUUUCUUUCUUUUUCUUUCUUCUUUCUUUCUUCUUUCUUUUCUUCUUUCUUUCUUUCUUUCUUUCUUUCUUUCUUUCUUUCUUUCUUUCUUUCUUUCUUUUUCUUUCUUCCUUCCUUCCUUCCUUCCUUCCUUCCUUCCUUCCUUCCUUCCUUCCUUCCUUCCUUCCUUCCUUUUCCUCCUUUUUUAGUAAAUCAACUGAUUCCUUAAGAAAAAAAGUAGCUAACUGAAAGCUUAAUCAAUUUUACUUUCUCUCCUUUAGAAAGCAGCUUUAUUUUUAAGCUUCCUUGACCACCGUUAUGUUGAUGAACUUCCCGCCCACUCAUGGAAAAGAGUUCCACAUUCCUAACACCUCCAGCUCUGAGUCUCCAAAUUCACCUUCACUUCGCAUUGACCCCAGGAAACAUAGACUCGCAGUGGGACUUAUUCAGCCAUAAUUUGCAGAGAAUCCUCUUGCUGGAUGUAUGCAACUGGCACCUAGGAAGGACGGGGUAGAGGAGAGGAGAGCAGAGAGAGUAAGAUGGUGCCACUGACACCAGGAAGUGCCCAGCCUGAGAACACGGAAUACAGCAGAGCUAUGGAUUAACUGCCAUGUGAGCUCAGGGAGAGAAUGACUCAUGCUGCCUGAGGUUGAUCUCGAAUGCCUUGUGGUGUUUUGUGACCUAUGAAACAUUGGCAGCCCACAGUUGCCGCCUCACCAUUCCAUUUUGCUCCUCAGCACUGCCAAGGUUAGAUUUCUGGUCUUAACCUCAGCCCUCCUCCUGUCUGCAUCCCUUAAAACCCUACACAAGCCCCAGCACCAUUUCUCUAAGCAAACGCUUACUCGAUUCCAGUUAGCCAGUUUUUCUAUUCCUCACUCCAAAUUAAAUUGAAGUGUCCCUCUCUAUUGCCUGUUAAGCAGUCACGUGUAGAAAGCUUUGGGGGAUACUGAGGGUCCCUUUUCCUUCAGAAAGCUUAUCAGCCAGUGGGAGAGUUAGACACGUUAAACAUGUAAUUGGAAAAAGAUGCAGUAACAGAGGGGCAAAGAGCAUGUGGCGAGCACUUAAAGCAGUGCCAAGUUUCGGUCUGAUGGGACCACAGAAGUUUUCACAAAGGUCUGGCAUGUAAGCUGAACCAACAGGCAAGGACACCUUUCUCUGAGGCAAGGAAAUGUGCAGGCAAAGGACUAAAGACACAUGGGUAGGUGACUAAGAGCAUCACCAGAGCAUGAGCUACAUGGAGGAAUUGAAUAAAGGGCUGCUGAUCUGCA
rnacentral:lncRNA from 12 species